UGCCAGACUCCUACGGGAGGCAGCAGUGGGGAAUAUUGCACAAUGGGCGAAAGCCUGAUGCAGCAACGCCGCGUGAAGGAAGAAGGGUUUCGGCUCGUAAACUUCUAUCAACAGGGACGAAAGAAAUGACGGUACCUGACUAAGAAGCCCCGGCUAACUACGUGCCAGCAGCCGCGGUAAUACGUAGGGGGCCAGCGUUAUCCGGAUUUACUGGGUGUAAAGGGAGCGUAGACGGCGGCGCAAGCCAGAUGUGAAAGCCCGGGGCUCAACUCCGGGACUGCAUUUGGAACUGUGUGGCUGGAGUGUCGGAGAGGCAGGCGGAAUUCCUAGUGUAGCGGUGAAAUGCGUAGAUAUUAGGAGGAACACCAGUGGCGAAGGCGGCCUACUGGACGGUGACUGACGCUGAGGCUCGAAAGCGUGGGGAGCAAACAGGAUUAGAUACCCCCGUAC
rnacentral:rRNA from 1 species